UAAAACUUUCAACAACGGAUCUCUUGGUUCUGGCAUCGAUGAAGAACGCAGCGAAAUGCGAUAAGUAAUGUGAAUUGCAGAAUUCCGUGAAUCAUCGAAUCUUUGAACGCACAUUGCGCCCUUUGGUAUUCCGAAGGGCAUGCCUGUUCGAGCG
rnacentral:rRNA from 1 species